rnacentral:pre_miRNA from 12 species
UUUCCUACGUUAAUUCUUGGCACUGGGAGAAUUCACAGUUUAGUGUUGAAUUUUCUGUGGUUCUUUGGGUGCCAAAGUUUAAUGAAGUGAUC